rnacentral:rRNA from 1 species
UACGUAGGGUGCGAGCGUUGUCCGGAAUUAUUGGGCGUAAAGAGCUCGUAGGCGGUUUGUUGCGUCUAUCGUGAAAACCUGCGGCUUAACUGUGGGCUUGCGGUGGAUACGGGCAGACUUGAGUUCGGUAGGGGAGACUGGAAUUCCUGGUGUAGCGGUGAAAUGCGCAGAUAUCAGGAGGAACACCGGUGGCGAAGGCGGGUCUCUGGGCCGAUACUGACGCUGAGGAGCGAAAGCGUGGUGAGCGAACAGG